GAAGGUCUCUGCGGAGAAGAAGCGGCCGCCUCGAUCAUCGAAGGCAGGAAUUCGUUUGUUCUUCUUCUUCUCCGGUUUCCCCUCGUCUCUCUCUCGCGUACCAAAUCAGCUUUCUUAAGACUCUGCCGGAUACUAGGGUUUGGGCGCUUCUGAUAUUUUCGCUACUCUGCUCAUUCGAGGUUAGGGCUCGAUGUUAGUUAUGUUCCCGAUCAACAAGACGAGGCUGAGAAGUAGAUGGCAUUUCCAUUACUACCAUCCAAGCGUCCUUUUGAACAAAAUCCCUUGGAGCACACUGGGAGGGGUAAGUGGAAAAAGACUGGACCUUCUAUAACACUGCAGAAUCAGGUGAAAGUGCCCCUAGGGGCUAUUAUCUUCCGAAUACUCUGUCCUGCUUCAAAAUCUGGAAGUGUGAUUGGUAAAGGUGGAGGUAUUGUAGCAAGGAUACGCCACCAGACUGGUGCAAAAAUUAGACUUGAAGAAACUGUUCCUGGAUGCGACGAGAGAGUUAUUGUAAUCACUGGGUUGGAGAAAGAUGCCGAACUUGGCAGCAAACAUAGUAAAGAAGAUGAUGAAGGUGCUGGUGCUGUUGAUGGUGUUGAGAGUGCCAAGGAAAAUACUGAUAAUAUUGAAGGGGCAGAGGAUUCUGCUGCUGCAGAUAGUUCAAAAUUAGAUGGAGUACCAUCAUCAGCAGUGAAGGCACUCGUACUUGUUUUUGAGAGAUUAAUUAAAAGUGAAUCAGAAAAUGAUGAUGAAGAUGACACCAAUAAGAAGCAUUCCACUGUUUCUGCAAGAUUAUUAGUUCUGUCUGGCCAGGUGGGUUGUGUCCUUGGAAAGGGUGGGAGUGUGAUCAAGCAAAUGUCAGCUGAUAGUGGGGCCCAGAUUCGGAUACUUCCUAGAGAUAAACUUCCGUUGUGUGCUUCCCAACAGGAUGAAAUUGUCCAGGUAACAGGAGGGGUUGAAUCAGUGAAGAAAGCACUUCAUUUAGUUGCUCAGCAGCUUUUGGAUAAUCCACCACGAGAACAUGAUUUGUUCCCGUCAUUGGGUUCUUCUGGUCCAUCGUCUGAUCCAUUUGCUUCUAUUCCUAGGGCAGAAGGCCUUCCACCACCAAAUUUUCAUUAUCCCCCUCAAGUACCACCUUUCUCAAACAGGCCUCAUGACAUCACGGACUUUCAUCCAGGCAUUGGUCCACCUUUUCCUAAAUUUCAUGAAAGUGGACCUCUUCUGCAACCCCAAGUUUCUCCAGAGCCAAUAACUUACAGGUUAUUGUGUUCCAAUGACAAGGUUGGAAGUGUGAUAGGAAAGGGAGGGAACAUUGUCAAAGGUCUUAAAAAUGACACUGGCUGUGAGAUCAAAGUUCUAGAGACAACUCCUGAGUCAGAGGAUCGUAUUAUAGUGAUAUCUGGUCUUGCACUUCCAAGUGAUAGGAUAGCGCCAGUGCAGGAUGCAGUUCUUCGUGUGCAACAUAGACUAGUAAUGGCUGUACCUGAUACGAAAGAGAGCACUGUCUUGUCUAGGCUUCUUGUUGCUUCCAACCAAACUGGUUGCCUUCUUGGCAAAGGUGGUUCUAUAAUAGCAGAAAUGAGAAAGCUUUCUGGAGCUCAUAUUCGCAUCUUGGGUAGAGAACAGAUCCCCAGGGGCGUACUGGAAAAUGAUGAGGUGGUUCAGAUAUCUGGUGAAUUUGGAGCAGUUCAGGAAGCUUUGUUGCAAAUAACUGCUAGACUGAAGCUUCAUGUUUUCCGUGAUAAAUUACCCGCUAUGAAUCCCAACAUGCCUCCUGCUUUUGUUGAGCAAUUACCUCCAUAUGGUUUAUACAUGGGAAGGAGGGAGUCUUCACCUCCCAGGUUGCAUCCUUAUUUGCCACCAUUUCAGAAAGAUCCUGUUGGUCACCCCUUUGAAGAAAGAUCUGUCUUUGCUCAUCCAGUUCAUGUUUCGGGUAUUCCUCUCGGUGUUGAGAGACCUGCAUCAUGGCCACCUCAGGGUAUGAGGGAUGUUGGUGGUCCCAUGCUUUUACCUGAUUACCCAGGAGAUCAACAAAGAAGGAAGGGUAGAUUUGCUAGUGGAAGCCAGCCGGCCCCUAUUACAAGUGUAGAUGUUUUUGUUCCUCGAUCUCUUGUACCGUCCAUCUAUGGUGAAGAUGGAGGCUGUCUAAAGCGGAUCCGUGAGAUCUCAGAAGCCAAAAUUAUCAUUACUGAACCCAGACCAGAGGCUACAGAGACGGUGAUCAUUAUAUCUGGAACACCAGAGCAGACCCAUGCUGCACAAAGCCUCAUCCAUGCGUUUGUACUGAGUGAAACUGUUCCUUUAGAAUCUACCAAACCUUGAGCGACAAGUGAUCUUAAUGCAAUCUUGGAUGCUAUUGGAUAUCAACCUGCUGUAUUUUAAAGGUUUGUUCUAAGAGAAUAUUGAUUGGGCUUCUUCUGUUUGCUUUAAAGAAUUUUCCCUGCAAUGAGAAGUGAAAGGGUUAUUACUUUGUGAUUGAAAUGGGCAAAAUAGCAUUCACGUGACCUGGUCUCUGAUGGGUUCCACAACUGGUUUGUUUUGGUGAAAUGCCUCUACUCAAUCUUGAUUUUUCCUGCAAGGUAGUCCUGAUGACUUGCUUAUAUUGUUAGGCCAUCCACUUUUCGAUGUGAGGUACAUGCUUGGGUUGUUCACGUCCUCUUGAUACUAUUAUUCGGGGUUCCCAUGCUGUUUUUAAUUUAAAGAGAACUUAUUUAUUUCCAAUGCCUACUAUUUCUUUUUUAUAUCAAAAGCUAACCUGAAAUAACUGUUUAAUUGUAUGUUCUAUUAUAAGUUUAUAACAUGACAUGCAUUAGGAGUGAUAUGCUAAUAGUUAAUUCUAUUUACAUGUUUUUCUAGGGCACAUUGUUUUGUGCAUUUACCAAGAAAAUAGUGUGAACUAUGAUCAACCAUCAAGAUCAUUGCUAGCUUGUACUUGUAGUAGGUUACCAUAUUGACUGAGCCUAAAUUUCUUGUUUAUCUCUGAUUUGUCAAAUUUUGCAAGCUUAUUUGUUUUGGGCUUGCAAAUUGACUUCAGAUUUAGUUACACAAGCAUCUUGUUAAAUCAGCACAGUUUUGAUUGAUCGAGGAAUGACAACUAGUUUUACAUGUCGGAUGUUAGAAUUUCAUUUAGCUGCUUUCUCCUAGGGCUGCUUAUGAGAUUGAGUGCAAUAUCUUGGGUGACCAAGGUAAGAAACCCUUUUACCAAAAGUUAUAUUCACCGAUACAAGUCGCUUUUUGGAUGUUCUUCGUGAUACUCAAUACAUUGAAGCUAAUGAGUUUAUCAACCUGCAUAAUAUAUUAAGCUGGUUUUGUAAAUCUUGUGCUCCAAUCAUUUUAAACUAAUAUUGUGUUGUUUAUAGCAACUAGAGGAAUGUACUAAAUUGAUGUGUAUGGUAGAUGACUGCUAGAGCACAUCUAGGAAGGGUAUGAUUUUAUGCUAGUGGGUGUCAUUAAAUGGUCAAACACUGAACCAUCACAUGAAACUUGUACCUUGACAUGCUAGUGAGCAAGAUGCCAAGGAAAACACUUGUAUGCUUUGCUUUUAAGUACUGAAAAGUGGAUGAACUACAGCUGAGAGGUCAGGAGAAAAGACAAAAAAAAUAUAGGUGCAAGGAUUUAGAAGAGUUGAAAUAAAGAAGAAGAUGAAAGGGGUGGAAGUUUGAUCCUUGAUUGUUUCUGGAGAAGAAAAAGGGUGGUAAAAGAAAAUGCAAGUCUGAUGUUUGCAGAUCUAGGGUUUAUUCCAAAAUUUACAGCACAUUAUUCACAUAAGAUUUUGUCAAAUACAAAUACUUUAAGAUUUGUCCUGAUAAAACUAAAUGUUUGGAUGUAAAGUUUUACCCUUUAAGAAAAGAAGAAUUUCAAACCUGUUCAAAGAAUUCUUAAAGUAUACAUAUGAAUAUAGGAUUGCAUGUUUGAACUUAUAUAUUAGGCAUGAAAGAUCAUGAAUCUCCCUACUUUUGCUUCUUCCAAUAGAACUUAUUCGGCUGAUGUACAAGUAAAUGAAAUCUCUUUAGGUAUAUAUCCUAAAUGCAUGAUGGGAACUUUUAUUUUUAUUUGAUGUGGUGGAAAUCAGCAUCCACAUUGUCCAGUUUAUCAGAACAUGAUUGCUUCUCCUGGUAUAUACAAUUUGUAUGUAGUUUGUCGAGUGAUCUGUCACUUUAUUUCUUCUCCCUUGGUUAGUUAUUAUCGUAGCUUGCAGCUUGCAGCUUGCAGCUUGCACCAAUCUUGUCUUUCGUUUUGUUUGGUGUCUAUUACAGUUUAUAUUUUGGAUUAACUGAGAAACAUUUUCUUUUAGGGAAAUAAUCGUACUUGUACUCAUUGUAUAUCUAAUGGGUGCUUUAUGAUUUGGAGGGACUUGAAUAGAUUUAGUUGGAACAAAGAACUUGUCUCACAAUAUGAAAAUACAUAUAGAAACAGUAAUCAAACAUCAAGGGAUACAUUUUUUUUUACAUGUUUCGUUUUAUAGUGCCAUUUUGGAGUCCAACAGAACCCCCAAAAAGGUCUGAUUGGGAAUCCAAUUCUAACAUACUAGAACACCGCGAGAUUUCAAACACACUUCUACCCCUUUACCCUUUAUUUAGAAAAAUGAUUCCAUGACCAUAGACAGCAAUUUUAUGUCUCCCAAUCAGUAUUCACUGCAUGUGCUCAGACAAAUCUGAUUGUGGAACUUUUUUAUGAUGAGCUGAAAUUGGCCGGUAUUGAAUAGAACGGACAAAAUUGGUGGGGAUAAGUACGAUGGAAUAAGUCAGUUGGAGUUACCUCUCAAUAACUCUGUCAGACCAUUUAGAUUGGGUGGAGCUUGGCCUUGGAUCGGCAGGAUCAAUGGUCAAUCUUGUAAACCAUGGUUCCAAUCAUCAUGGUAAGUAUUCGUUGGCCUAGCUUUUUGCAACAUAGGUUAGGGUUUCCGUGUGAAGGUAUGACAAGCGAUGGAAUUUCCUGGACUUCGAUGUUUGCUGGCUGUUGGUGAUGGUAUUGUGAUUGGUAGAGUCGUGUUGUCAAGCAUAUUUAUGAAUUGGAGUGUUUUGUCAGUCAAGUAUGUCUAUAAAUUUGGAGAAGAUAUCGCUGUUUGCAGGCAUAAUGAGUAAUUCAUUCUGAUUGAGAUUUUAUUUAUUGUAGCAUCCUUUGGUGUUUGAGUCAUUAUGGGAAUAUUUAGUGGUUUCAUUGUUUAUUUAAAGCUUUGAUUAGUUGAGAUCACAAGUACCUUAUUGCAAACUGUAAUGGCCGGUGAUACCAUGCAGUUUCAGCACUAGCCAUGUAUGUUCUAGGCAUGUGAACAUCCUGAGAACUACCAUUAAGAUAACUGCUACGUUAAAUUGUGGCAGGACCUAUUAGACAAGUACAGCAUCUCUACCACAACAUAUGAGAUGCCACACUUAAUCCAUUUAUUGGGAUUCCAUUUAAAGUAGCAAAAAUAAAGUUGUGUAGCUUGUUUGAUUUGCAAUAAUGCACUGGAUUAUCAUAUUAGGAUUACCUCUAACCGAUUCUUAUAUACUUUGUGUUAUUAAUCUUUUUUUAUUUUCCUAAAAUGUUAGCCCUGUUGUUAAUAAAGUUGGAGAAGACAUUUUACAGCUAACAAUGAUUUUAAAUGUAGUAAACAAAUAGCAUAGGCAUGUUGGUGGCUAUUGAACUGUAAAUACUGCAGACACAAUCGUUUAUAAUUUUGUCAUGUACAUUGCAUCUAACAUACUGGUGUAGUUGGUAAUCCACAAAAUACACUAGAUGAGUCUUGGAAUAUAUUUUUCUGUUGUAGAUGCCCAGUCAUCGACUGUGAUUGUUGCAUAGUUUUUUAUGAAAGCAGGAAAGUUAGAAAUUGAAGUAUGCAUUUAGAAGCUUUUCCUCUCAGGUGCUUCAAUGCAGAGAUUACACAUUAGCUUUUGGUUUAUUUGGAUUUUUUAUUGGAAAAGAUCACGUAAGCAGUACGUGUCAUACGUUUGUUCAAAUUCAAUUUGUUAGCUCUAUUAUUUUAACAAAAAUCCGUUGGAAGUUGCUUGUUAAUUCGAAGAUUGUACGUUCUUUAAGGCCCGUAAAAAUGAAAUAGUUAAUGUAGAUAGUUCAAAAUUUGGCAAUGAGAUUGGUAUUUAUAAGAA